rnacentral:rRNA from 1 species
UACGGGGGGAGCAAGCGUUGUUCGGAUUUACUGGGCGUAAAGGGCGCGUAGGCGGCCAGCACACGUCAGUUGUGAAAUCUCCGAGCUUAACUCGGAAAGGUCAACUGAUACUGUGCGGCUAGAGUGCAGAAGGGGCAACUGGAAUUCUCGGUGUAGCGGUGAAAUGCGUAGAUAUCGAGAGGAACACCUGCGGCGAAGGCGGGUUGCUGGGCUGACACUGACGCUGAGGCGCGAAAGCUAGGGGAGCAAACGGG